rnacentral:rRNA from 1 species
UACGGAGGGGGCGAGCGUUAUUCGGAAUUAUUGGGCGUAAAGGGCGCGUAGGCGGCUUUAUAAGUCGGGGGUGAAAGCCUGUGGCUCAACCACAGAAUUGCCUUCGAUACUGUAGAGCUUGAGACCGGAAGAGGUAAGUGGAACUGCGAGUGUAGAGGUGAAAUUCGUAGAUAUUCGCAAGAACACCCGUGGCGCAAGCGGCCACCUGGCUGCCAACUGACGCUGAGGCACGAGAGCGUGGGGAGCGAACCGG